rnacentral:sRNA from 1 species
UACCGUCCUCGCCAGGGGCUUUGCGCCUCU